UAAUACGUAGGGGGCAAGCGUUGUCCGGAUUUAUUGGGCGUAAAGCGCACGCAGGCGGUCUGCUCAGUUUCCAGUGACAGGUGGUGGCUUAACUGCCACAGGCCUGGAAAGACGGGCAGACUUGAGGACUUGAGAGGGACGCGGAAUUCCAGGUGGAGCGGUGAAAUGCGUAGAGAUCUGGAAGAACACCAAAGGCGAAGGCAGCGUCCUGGCAAGUAACUGACGCUCUUGUGCGAAAGCUAGGGGAGCGAACGGGAUUAGAUACCCCGGUAGUCCUAGCCGUAAACGAUGACCACUAGACGUGGGAGGUAUCGACCCCUUCCGUGUCGAAGCUAACGCAUGAAGUGGUCCGCCUGGGGAGUACGGUCGCAAGAUUA
rnacentral:rRNA from 1 species